rnacentral:tRNA from 2 species
GCGAGAAUAGCUCAGUUUGGUAGAGCAUUACCUUGCCAAGGUAAUGGUCGCGGGUUCAAAUCCCGUUUCUCGCU